GUCGUCCAGGUUGAUCAAUCAGUUUUGUGAUGGUUAUUUGUGUUGCUGACACAAGAGUUUCGAUUAAGGUGAAGUCAAUAUCUGUUAUUUGGAAGCUAAGCUGACAUUUAUUUCAUGGAAAUUAACUAUCGAUUUCAAUACACCUCUCUUUGAUUUAUUUAUAACGAUUCAUAAUUGUAAAAUUCCUAUCUUGCCGAAGUGAAAAAAAUUUAGCCCCACUAGUGAUCACUUGUUUAAAAACGGUAAAUGGGGCAGCUAAUUAGCUUGUGACCCAUUGAAAUAAAAAUAGAAC
rnacentral:lncRNA from 1 species